rnacentral:tRNA from 1 species
AGUAGGAUAAGCUAUUUAAGCUAGCGGGUUCAUACCCCGAAAAAGAGGUUACCUUUCCUACUA